CACACGCACACGCACUCACUCACUGCCCAGCUCUUUCCACAGUUCCUUCACAUAGCUCUUCCUUCAUGGCAGCAGCUCUUUCAUCCAGCUCUACACGGCCAUCUCUCUCCAUACCACAGCUGCUGCCCCACAACCAAACUCUGGACAAUUAUAAGUUACAUUUCAGGGCCAUACCCAUUCUCAAAACAAGGUAAGUCAUGUAGUUUCUCUUGGGCUAGUAAUGUCACAUUGGCCCAUGCACGUAGCUCGAAGUUGGUGAGGGAUCCCCGACAGUAAACAGUUGGCUGAACCUUGAGCAGUCAGGGUACGUGCAGAAAGAGAGCUGCUGCAGGGAGCUCUAUCUCAAUGUAAACAGCCUGGCCUUGAUUGAGCAGUAAACAACACCUGGGAGUUAGUGUCGGUGUAUAUUCUGUAGGGACAGCUUUGUCUGUUUUGAAUUUGUUCUGAAGCCUAAAAUUAGCUGUCUUUGAGACUGAGAAUGCUGUUACUUUCCUGUGUCAGUAAAGAAGAACAUUCUGGUGUUAUUUCUAUACAUCAGAAUUAUACAGCUUAAACAGAAAUCCACAGCUAAAUGUGUGCCCCAAGAUGUAAUAUUUUCUUGAGACACGCAGUGGGAAAACACCCAUAGCUGUUUUUAGAAAAGAAAUAUAGCACAUGAGAGAAUAACAGACAGGAGCAGCAGGUCAGUAGCAGUAACUCCACGGCUUUGGCAAGUGGGGCUCCCCACCAGGGACUUACAUGUCUGGUGGGUAGACUUGUCAAACACUAGUUGUCACCUGCUGUAUACUCCCGUAGCCUUAGGCAGUGUGCACCACCACUGCCUGGAUGGAGUUCUCUUUGACAAGUCAGUAUCCCUGCAAACACCUGUUCCCCCAGUUCCGACAGCGGUGGAGACAGGGGGAUCACUUGAACUUGCUGACUUCUAGCCUAGCUGAGAAUGAGCCCCAGGUCCAGGAAGAGGCCUUUUAUGAGAGGAACAGGUAGAGAGUGUUGGAAGUGGACCCUCAACACCCACUUCUGGCUUCUGGGUGCGAGUUUAGGUGCGCAUCUAAACACGUGUAAACAAAAAACGAAAGCAAAGGAGGACGGUGAAAUGGCAUUGUGUAAAGGUGUUUAUUCACCAGUCCGAUGACUCAGCUUUGAUCCCUCAAACCUGCACUGUUGGACAGACAGCUGCAAGUUGUCCCACAGGAUACACAAAUGAGUUAAAAACAGGUGGUGUGGGUGCUGAAACAGAGUAGAGGCAGGGGAGCAGCUUGCUGCAGUUCCCUGCUUAGUCAUCCGAGAGUCAU